rnacentral:rRNA from 1 species
AGGACGAACGCUGGCGGCGUGCUUAACACAUGCAAGUCGAACGGUGACCUCGGAGCUUGCUCCGGGCGAUCAGUGGCGAACGGGUGAGUAACACGUGACCAACCUGCCCCUUGCUCUGGGAUAACCCCGGGAAACCGGAGCUAAUACCGGAUACGAGACCGUGCGGCAUCACGCGGUCUGGAAAGUUUUUCGGCAAGGGAUGGGGUCGCGGCCUAUCAGCUUGUUGGUGGGGUAAUGGCCCACCAAGGCGACGACGGGU